AUUGAACGCUGGCGGCAGGCCUAACACAUGCAAGUCGAACGAGUGGCGGAAGGGUGAGUAAUGACUGGGAAACUGCCUGGUGGAGGGGGAUCACUACUGGAAACGGUUGCUAAUACCGUAUACCAUCAGAUGUGCCCAGAUGGGUAUAGCUUGUUGGUGGGGUCACGGCUCACCAAGGCGACGAUCUCUAGCUGGUCUGAGAGGAUGACCAGCCACACUGGAACUGAGACACGGUCCAGACUCCUACGGGAGGCAGCAGUGGGGAAUAUUGGACAAUGGGCGAAAGCCUGAUGCAGCCAUGCCGCGUGUGUGAAGAAGGGCUUCGGAUUGUAAAGUACUUUCAGCGGGGAGGCGUUACCCGCAGAAGAAGCACCGGCUAACUCCGUGCCAGCAGCCGCGGUAAUAC
rnacentral:rRNA from 1 species